AGGCUUUGCUGUUUCACUCCACGAUGAGAGGGGUUGUGUAGAGGGAAUGCCGGAUUCCAAACGUGGAUGCAGGCGCCUGGGGCUUGAUCAGCGUCACCUGGAAGGGCGAAAAGGAAAGGCAGUCUGCGUUAAGCAAAGUUGCAGCAGGCUUGGAAGCCCCUGUGGCACAGGGGGAGCAGCCCAGGUUCGGAUGCUAACGCGGAAAAGAGGAGCGGCAGAGCUCACCUUGGCAAGGUCUUCGUCAAACCGACCUCGCUGGCUCCUUCCCCUCACAGAGUAGCAGGGGCUGGCCGAUGUGUAGACUGUGUUGGGCCCCAUCAGCCUGGGCAGCGUGUAGGUGCCAGGACCUGCAGGAGGAGCAGCAGAGAGCGUGUGCGCGAGGGGCUGGAGGAGACGGAAGCAGCAGAGAGGGGCAGCCUGCCCAGCCUGCUGGUGGGAGCAGGAGGGAGGUCUCGCCCCUCUGCCAGUUCCUCCCUCUACUCUGGCACUGGGCCAGCGCCAGCAGCUCCGAGCCUGAGCAGCCGCAGCCGCUGCGGGCCCAGAGGUGUUGGUCGUGCAAGAAAGCUUGCGGCCCCAGCGCCGCGUCCUGCCGCGCAGGCUGUGCAGUAGGCCCGCUGCUGGUGCUGAGCAGCAGCCCGUCCCUGCGGGAUGCUCAGGCUGAAGGGUCUGCCUUUGCCAGGGUCAGCGUACCUGGAGGGUGGUCUGUCCGGAGGGGCUCCCGCCGGAAGGCCAUGGACUGCACCGGUGGGCACUUGAAGACGUGCCUGUUGGCUGCCUCGGUGCGGUAGUCACCUGGGGCGGAAGAGAAGAGGAAGAAAGCCGUGAAGCGCCGGUCUUCUUCUUCUGCAACCGCACAGGCACUGUCCCGAGGAAAGGGUCUUCUCAAGAGCUGCAGAAUUGCCGCUGGGGGACACAGGCAGCACGCGGGGACGCUCUUCUGUGCCCCGCCGCUAUGCCCUGCCUUGCUGUCCCUCCCGUCAGCCCCCUGCCGCUUGUUCUUUUUGGACACGGGGUCCUUGUGCCCUCGGCCCGUGGCCCUGGGCAGCUGUCCUUCUCCGAGGGCGUUUAUCGCUGCUCAGCAGCGAUAUGGAGACCUACAGCUGCAUCAGGGCGCGAGCUGGCCCCGGGCAAACGCGCCGCCCGCUCGUCUUGUCUGGGUGAAGUGCUGCACAAGUGGUACUCACUUGGUCCGGGAGUGACGGUGGUCUUCGUCGCGGGUCGUCCCCGGAGCUGGGCGCCCGGAGCCACGUACUUCCCGUUCCUGGUGAUGGCGGGCUCCACAAAGUAGCAGGGACCUGGCCCGCAGCUCCCUGCCGCAGGCGGUUUGGUCCCUCUAAACGUGUAGGCGGGGGCACGGGCUUUGGUGGGGCUGUGGCCCACAUAACCUAGGAGGAAAAGCAGAAGAGAGCACACCCCUGUGCAGCUGCACGUCUCAAGCUCCGUUGGAACAGGCGCAGUUAGGCGCCGGGCCCUGGCCCCGACAUUCCCUUCCCGCGUGACUUCUUCCUCCAAGAGCCCUGGAGGCGAGCUGUGCCGGGCCUCGGAGCGCACAAGAGUCAGUCCCUGAGUGCAAACGGCUGCGCGAGUGCCUUGCAAAGUCACCGCAAAAAGACAGCGGAGUUUUGGCCAGCACGCUGCCUGUACCCGCACCACGCGUGCAGGCACUCCACAGCGAGAGCCCCCUAAGGGUCAAUUGUUCUGCAAGACCCCGUAACGCCUCUCUACAGCUGCAAAGCUGAGUCUGCGCUGGCCAGAAGCGGGCCCCUUUUUCCCCGGGCCACAAGGAGCAGCGCCAGCGGCACCGGCCUUCCUCGGCCAGGCCUGGCUCGCGGCUGCGCCAGGGAGCCAGGAGGCUCUGACAGAACGGGGAAAGGCUCGGGAGCUGCUCUGCCCCGCCAUGUCCCCGGUGCGCCUCACGCCCUGGGGAUGGUGGCUGUACCUGUUGUCCCCGGGAUGGAGUACUGGGGCCCGGGGCUGGGGAACUGGGCCGAGAUGAGGCCGCGUGGGCGAUGAGGUCUCCAGGUCCCCACCCAGGCUCCGUCCAUGCUGGCAGGCAUGUGCCUCCAAACCUAAAGGCAAGAACAGAGGAGUUACUGACGGGCUGCCCCAACAGAGGCCGCAGGUGAGCUUUGCUUCCCGCCCCCCGCGUCUCCUCUGCUCAGCCGCAAGCUGUCCGCCACGUGGCUUGCAGCUCCUGAGCCGGAAGGGCCGGCAGCAGUUUCUCCCGCUCACUGCCAGUCCUGCCAGUCUCGUGCUGCAUGCCCCUCGCGCACACCGGAGCUCAGCCCGCACCCUGCAGCUGGGCUCUGCAGCCUGACGUGUGCAGGAGCUCUCCCUCACCUCUCUGAGCCUUGGAGGACGAGCGCGAUGAGGCUGAGCUAGUCUGCUGCUGGGGCUGCUCUCAGGCACAGGGCACGGCGAGCGGCUGCGGGCAGCACAGCUCACAAAUGAGGCGCCUGGAGCCAGCGGCCAGCUGUCCUUGGGGAGGGCCCGGCGUCGUCAUGGCAAUGCAUUGUGACAGCACACGGGCUCCGGGUGAUGUCAUCUGUGCUGUGACAUCUCCUGGCUGGCCUGGAGCCACGCCCGCCACGCCUUUUCGGCCUCGCACCCCAACCAGUACAAAGCCGUAGCGCACGCUGCCGACACCUGCAGAUGGACUGAGCUCUCACUUCUAGCCACGUGCCGCCCGGGGCUCCUGAGGCUCGGUCAGCGUCACCUGCAAGGGAGAGAUUACGUUACUUCGAACCUACUGGAACAUUUCUGAGAAUGACACUCUGUUCUUUGAAGCUCUGUGUGUAUAUAUACAUAUAAAAAUAAAUAUACGAGAGCCCGAAAAGCA